AGGUCUGUAUCUGGUAUAGCUGAAGCAGCAGCAGGACUACUCUUCACAUUCAACUGAUUGGUCUCCUCAGCAUUUGCAGAUGAACUAUCAAUAACCGGUAAAUCAAUAGUAGCACCUCCAGGACAGAUGCGCAUUGAAAGAACUUGUAGGCAGAGCUGCUCAAUCUUAGAAGUUCCCUUGAGGUCUCCGGCAGUCAAUAAUUCAGCUUUUUCAUGAGUUAAGUUUGAUAUCACUAGAGGUUGGCUCUUGCGGAGAGCCUGCUCAGUCAAAGUGUUUAGUACUUUUUGCUGGCGUAGUAGAGCCCUAAAUUCCUCUACUUCUGCACACUGGUCUGGUGGUGAGCUACUGGCUUCAUCCUUGUCGUCCAAGAGGCUUUCAAUCUGAAUCCCCUGCAAUAAAGGAACUCCAAAUGUUGAA
rnacentral:sRNA from 1 species